AAUAGGAAUAGGCUGUGCUAUUAGGCAGGCAAGAGUGGGAGCUUGGUCCCUGUCCCCUGGACCUGUGACAGCACACAACGGGUAGGAGGAUGUAAGGGCUUGAGGAGUGAGCUCUGUUGGGAUGUGGCCACUCUCGAGGAAUCAGAAAGUGUCCUCACAGAGCUCUGUCAGCAGAACUAGCCCUAUGAGGAAAAGGCUUCUGUAUGCACCCUGGGAACUACCUGGGCACACCAAGGCUACCUACUUCUUUUGUGAGACCCACUGGACUAGUGCACUAUGGGAAUUGCUGCCAUCAGCAUCUGUGGCUGUGGAAAUGAGGGAGUUAGAAACGUUUCAGCCCCCAGAGAUAGACAUCCUGGGGGUACAAGGCCAGGGCAGCCAUUUAUAACAGGGCGUACCUCAGGAGACUGGCCACGCACAGUGCCUUGACUCUGGUGGUAUGUGAUCCUGGUCUGUGGAUUAAGUGAUAACUUCUGAGAGAGGAGAGAUCUGCACCAGAGUCCCAUCAGCAUGAAAGGCUGAGAUGGGACAGGUAGAUGACAGCAUGACUUGGGAGGCCAAGGGAAGAAGUGGCCACAGGCAUUUGUGAUCACCACCCAAGGGUAUCUUGAAGGACUCAAAUCUCUCUGCUCCCUCCAGGCAUCUGGAACCCUGUGCAGCAUGGGUGUUGUGGGGUGUUGCCACCUCUGUGUUUUCAUACAGUUUAGUAGAGUAUGAGUGUGUAUGCUUUUCCUGGUUACCAGCCCCCAAGGAUAGCAUUGGUCCUCAGCACAAGAAGGAAAGGCAUGGUUCUCAGUCAUGCCCCGCACACUUAGAGCCUGGCCUCUGUUCCACUCUGUGGCUCUCCCUCACCCGGGAGGCUGCUUCUUGUUUUCUCUGGGCAUAUUAGUGUCUGGAAGCUGGGGACAAGACCCACACUGGAGCUCUCUUGCUGGUGACUCAGGAAAGGGUAAUCCCUGGCUCUAUUCAAGUCAAGCAUGGGGCUGGGGCGGACACUUGCCUUUCUUGCCAGAAUGACCUGCAUGGGAUAAAGUCCAAACGAAAGUUCACUGCAGAAGCACAUGGAGCAGCAGGUGCCUGUACCACCCCAUUUACCCCGAGGCACAUUGUACAUCGACUUGACAGCAGAACACAGAGGGCGUGCUGCCAGCUCAACUUGUGUGUUCCAGACAAGAGCAGCAACAGGAAUAGCAAGCAAGCACACACACACACACACACACACACACACACACACACACACACACACGUUUUUACAGAAAGUGAUAGGUUACUGCAGACCAUUUUACUGAUACAGAAAUGUUCAAAGAAGAAAUUCAGCAGCCCCAGAAGAUGCACCCAAGGGAGGAGAGCGAGCUGCUUGGCCUUGUUCUCACUGAAGACUUAGGAAUAAACGGCCCAGGGACAGGUAGCCUUUGUUAUCAGCCAUAUCUUGGCUGGCAGUCACUGCACAGGUGUGAGUGCCUGCUCUGGCCACAGAGAACUGCAUGCGUUAGAGGAGUCAUGUGUCAUGCUUGCUCAGCCUGUGUCUUGGUCACUGUUCUGUUGCUAUGAAGAGACUCCAUGACCUCGGCAACUCUUAGAAAAGGAAACAUUUAAUUGGGGGCUUACUUACAGUUUCAGAGGUUAGUCCAUUAUCACUAUGGUGAGGACGGUGAAGGCAGAUAGGCAGACAUAGUCCUGAAGAAGUAGUUGAGAGUUCUGCAUCCUGAUUCCGUAAGCAGAGAGGGACUCUCUGGGCCUGACGUGGGCUUUUGAAACCUCAGAUCCCACCCCCAGUUCUUGCCCGAAGGGCACACCUCUUCAUCCUUUUCAAAUCCUGCCACCCACUGAUGACUAAGCAUUCAAACACAUGAGCUGUGGGGACCAUACUUACUCAAAUCUCCACGGUCUGCAUCUCUGGCCUCCAUCUCUUUAUUCAGGACCCUCAGUUGACUGAGUUAGUUUUAGCAUGGACCAUUUCUAGACUUCAUCUUUUGGGCUGCUUGUCAUAUGCCGUGCGUGGACCAGAAGUCUUGAGAACAGAAGGACCUUCUAGAGGCCGGAAGGCCAAGUUCAUGUCAGCUUCAAGUUCAGUGUCAGAGGGUGCACUCUUCUAUCCCAAUUAUGAAAACUAAUUCACGUCAGAGGUUUCAGCCCCCUUGUGCCAUCGUGUUCCAUGAGAAGAUUUCAACAUGGAUUUUGGGAGGAGACACAGUGUGUGCAGUGUUUGUCGAAUCAGGUGGCAUAGAUGAUGGGGGUAGGGUUAGAUUCUGUGUCUUCUUGGGUCUGCCUGUUGCUCCUCUUCAUAGGACUUUUCCUGCACUCUGCCUCUCUUCAGGACCACAGCUCUGUUACUUCAUCUUGGGGAAUACUAGACCCCUUGGGAAAUGCUUCUGCCACCCAUUUAGGGAGAGGAAGUGGAAACUGGAUUUGUAAUAUGUUACAAUAUUACAUCAUUGUCUGGCCUGUGAUGCUCUUCCCAGAACUCCAGAUGGACCCACAGCCACCUUCCCCCGUGUGGAAUCCUGUAUCUUGUAUGGUAGCAGUGGGACACAGGGAGACGCCAGAGCAUCUCAUGCUGUGCUCAUGCUGGUCCCCUGCCAGGUCUUGGCCUUUGCUCUAUAUUACCUUACCCCUUAUAGUCCUAGAGUUUCUGCUGCUUAAGUGUGAGGGUUGUGCUUCGUCUGGACCCCACAGCACUAGAGAGGAAACAUGCUGAUGGCUGGAGAAAGAGGGACCCAGGGAGCUGCUAUACAAGUGGGUGUUGGCAGGCCUAUGUAUGCUGUUACGCGUGUGGCCUAAGUCCUUGGAACUGCUCGAAGGCUGUUUCUGCUGGGCAGACAUAGUCCAUUGGGAGGUGGGGUCACAGCUACCCUACCAAUGUGAACUUGAGUCUAACUACUAAGUUCAUCAAAAGCAGAUUAAUUCAAUACUCCCUGGACUUCUACAUGAAGGUAGAUGGUAGGAUGUGAUCAGCCUUGUAUUCCUGACUGAAUCGCAAGUACUCAUAGCAUUCUUAAAGCUGCUGGAUGGUGAUAGCAGCCUUCACUGAGCUGUGACCUAGAUGGUGCGCUCUUCAUCCUGCGAUGUCCUGGGAACAGGGGCUCUGACCUUCAGUCAUCCUAGGUCUUAGAGACACUACUACAUGCAGCCUCUGCUCUUUUUUGGUUUUUCCAGACAGGGUUUCUCUGUGUAGUCCUGGCACUCACUCUAUAGACCAGGCUAGCCUUGAGCUCAGAAAUCCACUUGCCUCUGCCUCCCAAGUGCUGGGGUUAAAGGCGUGCACCACCACUGCCCGGCUGAGUUCUUAGUUCUUAGUCCUUGCAGGCUAGAAAAAGCAGACCAGUGAGAGAACAGGCUCCAAGGUGCCCAUUCAACACAUAGGUCUAUAGUCCAUGCCAUGGUAGAAGGAGAAUAGCUGUCUGUUGCUGGACAUCGACAUCUGUGAGUGGGUCUCAGUGUGGAUCUCCGAGGAGGCGAGGGUAGCUGUCGGUGAGGAUGCUCCUCCCUCACAUAGUUACCAUUUAGGAAUUAUGUGUUUCCCUGAAAGAGUUUUUAUCAUGGUUCAUGGUAAAGGGCAUAAACCUGGAGUCCAUUCACCAGUUUGGAGAAAGCUGUUUGGUGUAUAAUGUGGUCUAGGGUUCCUGCACUUAUACUUGCUAGGACUUGCAACCUACACAGGGUCUGGCUCUGUCCAACCUAUAAAGACCUCAAGGGAGCAGGCUGCUCAAGCCUAGAGUCAGUUCUCUUAAGAAGUAUAGUUCAGGUCAGCAGGGAAUGUGAAGCCCACUGAGCUCUGAGAAUCCCCCAAAGUUUAGCCAAAGCCCAGGCUUGGCAGCCACUGGCCUGGAUCCUUGUGGGAUGGAGUGGUCUUCGUGGCCCUCCUGUGAGAACAUGGUGCUGACAGUGAAAGAUGCUAGAAGAUAGAUAGGCCAUGGUUGUCCAAGUGGAGGAGUCUUCUGUCUUCAGAACAGCUCUGCAAGAACACUCCACCCCCACCAUCCCAGGACCUGGAGGCAGAUUCCAAAUUAUGUCAAGGUCUGAGAAGCCUGAGUUGACAGUUGAGUCUCAUUGUUGGGGUUGUGGGGGCAGCGUAAGGUGUGUGCUGCUGUUCGGAAAGACAUUACCUUGUUGAAACACUGACUUGAGCGUCUUUUCUUCACUUACUUUUCUGAUUUAGGCAACAGGAAGCUGUCCAGGAAAGAUUCUGCGAGGAAAUGAAGCCCUUCACCUACAGUCAUCGCUCUUGUUGACAUUGUCAGCGGCGGUGGUGCUAGAAAUUGAACCCAGAGCCUUAGCUUCCCAGUCAUUUGCUCUGCCACUUGCUUGAUUGUGGGAGUGUCCACAAGGCACUAGUGGUUUUCAGCCUGGGUGUGCGCUUUGCUAGAAACGACAUCCAGAGCCUUGUGCUUACCCAUCCCACAACCCUAGCCUGGCCUUCAGUGGGCUGCUCCCGUGCAGUCGGGUUCUCUGCCUCCUUACUCAAGCCCCAGGUCAGAUAAGCAUGGCCAUCUCCAUACUCUCCUGAGGCAGCCUUGUGACUGCUAUCCUCAGUAAUUCUAGUGUGAAUUCCUAGGAGUCAGCUAAGGAAUGUGCCUUUCAAGGGUCAGUAAGUAGUCUUUAGCAAGGCCUUAGGACUCCUGUGCUCCAUACCUCAGCAAAGAAGGAAGUCGAGAGAAUUUUGCAGUAAACAGAAGUCACUGUUGAAGUAGGCUUGCAACAAGAAGGGCCCAGACUCACCCUUCACCCAGGAACUGUAGCCUCUCCUUUUAAAGGGAAAUAAAGCUGCUUCCAGGGAAACAGCACACCCCGUGGCUCUGCCUCACACCCUGAAUGCUUUAAGAUCCAGCCUUGAAAGACAUCCCAUAGUGUUCUCAGGUGUAGCAGUUGAAGGAAGGAGUUUCUAACAGAAGCCUGUACGGGGCCAGCCCACAGAAUGCUUACAGUGGGCUACACCACCACUUUCCACUUUACCCAGCUGUCUGCAGGAAGGGCCCCAUGGGCUUUACCAUGUGCCUGCGCCCUUAAGGCUGUUAGAAUUCUGGCUUCUGCGUGGAAUGCAGACUUAGUGGCCACUGUAAUAAAGUGGGCCCUGCUGGCUCCGCCUGGCCAAGUGUGGACAGCAGACUUAGUGACUGCUGAGAUUGACAGCUGUGUGCAGUGUCUCUUGGUGGUGGUCUGUCUGACUCUGGCCCAGGGCACCCUAGGCAGAAUCACCCUGUCCCCCACUAUGCACCAUCAGGAAACUCCUAUUUCUUGAGAAAGAAGCGCACUCACGCCCAGGGAGGGAUCUGGCUUCUUCCCUCUCGUACGGACCACUAUUGUGUUUAUAAAGAGAGAAAGAGAAAGGGGGGAUAUGUUCUAUGGAGGUGUGGUAAGGUAUGGUGGAAGGGGUCAACUCAGCAUGUUCCCAUGCUGAGGCAUUCCUUCCCCCUGACGGACCAGCCACGUGACUGCAUUGUAUAGAAUAGAGUUUAUCCAAGGCCUGGGGAGGGGAGUUAGUGGGUAGUAGAGGCAGAGACAGGCAGAGUGGGGGAAGGGAGGAGUAGAGGCCGGCCAUGAGCACGUGGAGCGAGGGGCGGGGAGGGAAUGGGGAAAGAGGGGGGAAGGGAUGAGGGGACAGCAGAAGGGAAGAGCAAGAGAAGGAGAGGCCAAGUAGCUCCCUUUUUUAGUGGGUCAGGCCUAACUGGCUGUUGCCAGGUAACUGUGGGGUGGAGUUUAGACAGAAUGCUAACACCUGACCUUGGGGAUGGGACCUCUUUUUCUUUUUUUUCCGUUUCUUUUUUCUUAAAGAUUUCUUUGCUUAUGUAUUUACUUGUUUUACACCAGAAGAGGGCAUCAGAUCCCAUGACAGAUGUUUGUGAGCCACCAUGUGGUUGCUGGGAAUUGAACUCAGGACCUCAGUGCAGGCAAUACUUUUUUUAACCACUGAGUCAUCUCUCCUGCCCCCUCAUAUGCCUUCUGUUUGAUUCAUUUCUUUCAACAUUCACAAAUGGAUUGAAAGACACUUAAUAAAAGGUUGUAUUCGAUCUCUUUUAUCACAUGGCCAAAGCCAGAUUCCCUAAGGAACAGGGAGGGCAUCAUUUCUAAGUUCCCAGUGGUGGACAUCACCAGAUAGAAGAAACCCAGGACACUGUGCAGUGGGUCCUCCUGGGUAGGAGCUGUUGUUGGGAAGGGAAGCUUUUCAGCACGGAGCAGGACAAGGUUAGACUGUGUCCCCCAGCCCCAGCCCCACCCCCACCCCUGCCUGUCUGCAGCCAUGACACAGCUGGCCAGACUGGGCGCCACUGGCACCUCCUCUCAGCCUGUGUCCUACUCAAACACUGGGUGGGCCUUCAAGAGGAGGGGCUGCAGAGGGUAGUGACGGAGAAGCAACGCCCCGCCCUGGAACUAGGCUUAAGCAGCCUCCUGCUGAAGUGAGUCUCCUGGCACCCCUCAGAUUCCCUUUUGGCUUGCUUUCUUUGUCACCAAGGCAGUUUCAGUGGGUCAUGUUAAAAAGGAAAAUGGCCAACAGGCCCAGAUCAAGAGCCUUGCCAGCCUGGUUAUAAGGUGCAGUCGUUGUAGGCUUUACAGCUAUGGUGCUGGCCACCCAGCAAAAAAACGUCUCAGCUAGCUUAGCACUAGGAAGGGUUGUUGGAAGAUCUCUGUAGCCAGAGUUGUAGGUGCCCUUGAGUGUGUUGCCAGGAUAUAGAGGAUCUCCUUGCAAAGUGGGAUACCAUGGGAGGGGUCUGCUAUGCCAUCUGGCCUGGCCCACCUGGGGCCACCCUCAGCGUGUCUGAUCCCAGCAGGGCUUGGGUGCCUUCCAGAACUGUUUUCAUUUUCAGUUCCCUUUAUUGCUAAACCACCUCAGGGCCACAGAGAACAAACUGUUGUCCUCAGCUGACCUCAGAUUCCUGGCCUCAAUUGUUUGCAGUUUGCUAACUUUAGCUUCUGAUCGUUUCCACCCUUAUCCUCCCCCCAAAGGGAGACACAGACCAAGAAUAGCUGCUGGGAAGGGGGGCUGCAGUGGUGUGGCCAGAGUUCCCACAGUGAGCCAUCAGCCUGUGUGAGGCAGCUUCUGCUGCCUAGCCUUGAAGGAGGGGUUUUCUGGGCAUAAGCCCAGGGCCACAGUCGUAGGCCCCUGUACCCCUAGGUGCUUCCAGGCUUUGAGCACAAGAUGAUGCCUGCUUCCAUUUCGUUCUCCUUUUAUAUCAAAACCAGGCUAGUGCCAGGAAAAUGUCAUACCCCCACAGCCCUGCCUCACCCCCUGAGAAUUGCUGACCACAGCACCCAGGUUUAUAGUCUGGGGUCAGAUGUAGCACUUGGCUACAGUCACCCCCAUCCCCCAAUGGCCCCGUGCCCUAGCAUGUCACAUGUUUGCCAAGUGCAGCCUUAGUGUUUGCCCAGCAUUGCCUUGCCAGUCAUGGAACGCACACUAGACUCCAGUGAAGGGACAGUGAUUGUGCAGGUCCAAGGCUUCAGGCUACAGGAUGGACCCACCCAGGGAGGGGAGGAUGGGCAAACCCUGGAGCAGGCCUUCCAGCUAGGGAGGAAGUGCGGCCAGUGUGUUGGGCCUGUUGCUUGGGAUUGAUUGCUAAACUACCAUAGUGAGGAACAUCCCGCAAACACCACCCCAUCUCGCCCUCCCAGUUGUUUUGAAAGAUUUUCUGGAACACCCCAUUACUCUACCCUACGUAUUUAAAUGCCAGGUGUUUUGGUUUGGUUUUUUUACUUGAAAGUCCAGCAUGAAGGAUAGCACUCUGUGACACCUGAAGAAACCUAAAACCUGAUCCCCCUCACCUCAAAGUUGGGGCCACCUGUAGAGUUGGGAUGCAGCCCUGUGAUUGUGUCGUGUUUGCACGCAUGGGGCCCCACACUGGAAAAAGAGGAAGUUUAAAAAAGCAUACCCUGACCCUCCCUCUGCUUCUGCUUCUAACUAGCUGUGAGUAAGACAGGGCGGCUUUCCUGCCACCAGGGCUGUGCUGCUCCGCUGACUUCUGAAGCCAGCAGGAGGCAAUCAGAGGCAGCCUGGGGAGGCCCAGCUCCUUCAGGAUGGUCCUCCACCUCUCCCAGAGCAGGGGAAGUGCUUUAUCUGCACACACCUUAGGAGACCCAGCAGGGCCAGCUGUCUCCAGGGCUUAAUUCUCCAAGGAACUGCUGAGAUGUUGUGUCCACCCCAUUUUGUUUUGCAGUAGGAUUUAAAAAAACUAUUAUUUGAAAAAAAAAAAUUGGUGAGUGUGCACAUCCGGCAAUCUAUAAAGCUUAAGUAGCAGGUUAUUGCACACAUUUUAUUAUAAUAAAUGGCUCCUUUGUUGUCCCCCCCAACUGUGCCUCUCCCAAGGCAGUGCUGCCAGUUCGGUUCCAUGGCUGUUUCCUUUGGCAUUUGGCCUCUAAGAAGGAGUCUGGCUUUAUCUCUCAACUUACGUGAUGGCAGAUGAGGAUGCCGCCCCCCCUACCUCCCACUCAUGGCACCUUUGCUCCUCUCCCAUGGUAAUAGGAUCCAUUUGUAGGUGACUGCAUGUGAGUUGCAGGGGACCUGUACAACACGUGUGUGUGCCUCAUUCCUACCCCCCAUCGACUCAAAUCUAGUUGUCUUUGGCACAGGUUUCUCUGUUACUGGUUUUCCAGAUGUCUUCCUGGGCCUGGGCUCCUGCUGGUGUGUCCCUCGGAGGGUGGAAGCUCAUGUGUGCUUCAUCUUCAGCAGUGGGGCAUGCCUCCACUGCUGCUGAGGAGGGUGUGGAGUGGGCUUAGAGGAUGGGAAAUGGCUCCAUCUUGGUCUUGGUAGUUCAGAUUUGCCUGUGAGAGUUUUCUUGGGACUAUGAAACCCACAUUGCUAAGGCUAGAGCCCUUCUGUUGCUGGCCAUUUGUGUCUCCCCUGCUUGGCUCCUCUCUGGACUGUCUCUCUGUCUCUGUCCUGCCUCCCCUCCCCUCCCCUCCCCUCCCCCCCCUCCCUAAGACUUGUUUAUUUUUGUUUUGUAUCUGUGGAUGUUUGCCUGCAUGUAUGUAUGUGUGUGUACGUGCCACAUGUAUGCCUGAUCACCUGUGGGGACCAGAAGAGGGUGUUUGAUCUCCUGGAACUGAGCCAUGUGAGUGCUGGGAACCUAAUCCAGGUUCUCUGAAAAUACUUGAAAUACUGAGCCAUCUUUCCAGCCCAAAUACUUUUUUUUGUUAAAGAUUUAUCUUUAUUAUUUUUAAUUUAGUUUUUUGAGAAUUUCUUAUUUUUAAGAUUUAUUUAUUUUUUAUGUAUAUGAGUCACUGUAGCUGUACAGAUGGUUGUGAACCUUCAUGUGGUUGUUGGGAAUUGAAUUUUAGGACCUCUGCUCGCUCUGUUUAGCCCCGCUUGCUCAUUCCCUGUUCGCUCCUGCCCAAAGAUUUAUUUAUUAUACAUAAGUACACCAUAGCUGUAUUCAGACACACCAGAAGAGGGCUUCAGAUCUCAUUAUGUGGGUGGCUGGGAAUUGAACUCAGGACCUUUGGAAGAGCAGUCAGUGCUCUUACCCACUGAGCCAUCUCUCCAGUCCUUGAGAAUUUCUACGUGCAUACAGAAUUUGCAUUGUCCUCCCACUCCCUCUCAUUUUCAAUUAUGUUCGUGUUUGUGUGGGUUUGUGUAUGUGGGUGCAGAUGUCUGCAGGCGGGUGUCUGAUACCCUAGACCUGGAGUUACAGGUAGUUAUGAGCUGCCAAGUGUGGGUGCUAGGAAUCGACAUCAGGUCCUGUAUAAGAGCAGAGUGUGCUCUUAACCACUGAGCUAUCACUCCAAUUCUGGGAGGGGUAGAUUUGUGAGCAUGCCUGCUGUGCGCCGCUUCCCCCCCCCCCCCCCCCCCCCCCCCCCCCCCCCGUGGCUUGUGAAGGGUAUCCUUACAUACUUGCUUCAUGAGCUAUCUGGCCAGCCUGGGGUGGGGGUGGAGUUCCAUUGCCAGGGACUGAAACUAUUUGGAUUGGCCUUCAUUUCUUCUUUCCCCUCCUUAUCCAUUUGUCCCAUAUGCUGUUCUCUUUGAAUUUCCUUCAGCAUUUGUUCUAACGCUAACCGGGCUUUUCAUUUCUGACCCACUUUCUUCCAUUGCUUAUUGCCUCAGGCUUCUGCGGCUCUUGUGCACUUCCUCUUCCGCUCCUGCCGUGCUCAGCCUCAGGAUUGUAGUGGGAGCUUGGGAAGUGUGUUUCUCAUUCCUGACUCUUUUCCCCUGCUCUCCACUGUCUUUUGACCUACAGGGCCAGGGGCUGAGUUUUCCGGUGUCUGGUGCUGCUCUGAUGGUAGAGGUCUGUUAGGCCAUUUUCUUCAGGCCUUUGCCUGAGGGAGGAGUCUGCUGCCCUGCGGGGUGGGGGUAGGGGUGGAGUCAGAACCAAAUUGGGGAGGGGGCGGACUUUAGGGUGGCUACAUCUAGCCUGUGAGCUGUUCCCCAGGCUCUGUUGAGAAAACUGCCACACCCUGAGCCAGAAGACUUGCUGUUCAAAGCCUUCCAUUAGCUAGUCUCUGCUGUAGCAGGUCCCUACAUGGACAAUCCAGGCCUGGUGUAACAGCCACAGACGGUGACCAGAGGUCUGAGCUCAUUCCCACUUUUCACUGCAGUAAUUUUUCAGCAUUCAGAUUGGGCCAUUGUCACAGCAUGGGACACGAUGACAUCUGCUCCUAUUGUAUUAGAAGCAUUGGAACAUAACCAGGGCAUGAAGAAAGGGAGAGUGAAGGAAGUAUACCCUGCCUUUUUCGUUUUUUAAAGGAAAUGCGCCUAGAAGCAGUUCACCAAGCCAGGUCUAGGGCAGUCUGCAAAGAACAGCCAGCCUCUCAAACUGAAGUCCGUCCCUCUGAAGAAUGGUUGCUGGGCUAGUGGUAGCGUUUGCAACCCACUGCAGAUGGUUCGUGUGCCUACCUUCCAGGUGGGAAGCGACUCAUUAGGAAAGUGUCUGCUUGAUAGAAGUGACCACCGUGGGUUGCUCUUAACGUAGUUGAGGAGCCGAAGAGAUUAGUUUAUCCAUCUUCAUCUUUUUCUGUCUAUUGAACCUGAUUUAGCCAUUUGCACUAGGUCAGCAGUAAUACGUUGUUACUCCAAGUAGAGCCAUGUGACCGUUGUUAUGAUCACUGAAGGCAAAGGACAUCAUUGUCUGUCAUCCAUUAAGUGGACUAUGGUGAUCAUGUUUCCCUGGGUCCCCCCUGCCAUCUAAGAUUUGACUUGUUUUUUCAUGGUUUUGGUUUUUGUUUGUUUUUGUUUUGUUUUGAGACUCCUGGGCCUGGUAGAAGAGAAGCAAUUCAUCCCAACUCUCCGUAUAGCCCUGGCUGGAACUUGCUAUGGAGACCAGCCUGGCCUGCAGCUCACUGAGGUCCACCUGCCUCUACUUCCUGGGUGCUGGGAUUAAAGGCGAGCACUGCCAUCAUGCCCAGUGUUGCCAGGGUUUUUUUUGUUUUUGUUUUUGUUUUUGUUUUUUUGGUUUUUUUGGUUUUUCGAGACAGGGUUUCUCUGUAUAGCCCUGCCUAUCCUGGAACUCACUUUAGACCAGGCUGGCCUCGAACUCAGAAAUCUGCCUGCCUCUGCCUCCCAAGUGCUUAAAGGUGUGCGCCACCACGCCCGGCACCAUUUUUUUUUUUUAAUAAACACUUUUAUUUAUUCUUUGACAAUUUCAUACACACAUACCAUGUGUCUAUUGAUUCUUGGUCCCCAACUCUCCUCUCACAUUUUCCCUUACCCCUUCAGCUUGUCUUUCUUUAAUCCUUAUUAUUCUUUAAAAAAAAAAAAAAACAAAAAAAACAAAAAAAAAAAAACAAGGCAAUGAGUCCAGUUAAUGCUGCCCUUCUGCAGAUGGGUAUGGGGCCAUUCACCCACCAGAGCACAUACAACUUACCAGUGGCCACAACCCUAAAAAAUGGUGGUCCCACCACCACAGCAGCCAAAACCCAUCAAUUGCCACAUAGCUUGUCAGCUGGUGGUAGGAGCUCGUGAGCCCUUCCCUGGCCCAUGCUAGAAUGCGCACAGGCUUGAUCUUGUGCAGGUAACGUCAGAGGAUGUGAGCUCAUUAGUGCAGCAGCCAUGCCAAGUCAAAAAGAGGUAGACCUUCAACAAUUUUGAGGGGUAUUGGCUAUGAUGUUCAAUUUCACUGUCAACCAAACUGGAUUUAGAAUCACCCAGGAGACACUUCUCUGGGAAGACCUACCUGAUGUGUGUGGGUGAUACCACCUGAUGAUCUGGGGUCCCAGACUAUAUAAAAAGCAGACACACACCAGCAUUAAUCGUUCUGCUACCCGAGAAUGCAAUGUAACCAGCUGCCCGGUGCUCCUGCCUCCUGCCACGAUGAACUGUUGUUCUCCAAACCCUGAGCCCAGAAUAAAGUCUUCCUUACAUCUCUGGUCAGGUACUUAGACACAGCAACAAGAAUAGCAAUUCUACACAGGCUAAGUAUUCUGUAGACUGUCCCUCAGCCUGUAGCUGUCUGAUCUUUCUUUCUCUCAUGGUUGGACUGGGUUUGUGGCUUUCGGAGGUAAACACAGCAGAAAGGAAGAGUCUUUCCAUUUCAUGCCUGUGGGGAAUCCAGUUCAUGUGAAUUUAGUGCUAUUUAUGUUGUUACUCAAAUAUCCCAGCCCUGGACAGGGACUCUUUAGGCCUGUUCCUGUGUCCUUUUGACAUGCCCCUUCGUUUUUGAAUUUUUGUCUGUUUCCUGACUUUCUGGCAUUAUAUGAUGCUCGGGCUUACGGACUUUUCCUGUCCCAGCCCACAGAUCAAAUCCAAAGGACCCUGUUUCCUCUCACUGCAGAAUGGUAUCAGAAUCCAGGAUCUGGGUGUGCUCCUUGUGACUGGGGUGUGGCUGCCACUAUGCCACUCUGCGUAGAGCUGUGUGUGUGUGUGUGUGUGUGUGUGUGUGUGUGUGUGUGUAACAUUUACAUUGUUUAACACAUUAACGAAAUACACCAUAUCUCUCUGUCCUUCCAUAUCUAGCUCUUCUUAUUUGUGGCCAGCCUCUGGGACUAGACUCCCAGUGGACUGCCCCUUUCUGUGACCCCUCUACAUCUACCCCCCAGCAGUGGCCUUACCUGUGUCCCCUUUCCUUAGUGCACCCGGGAGGCAGGUGUAGAUUGUUAGACCACGCUUAGAGUUGAUGUUUUGCUGACUACAGUGCAGGUCCUUUUGCCUGCUCUUAAAGAGUUUCCAGUCACAGCACUGUGUUCCCAGUAACUUAGGUCAGCUGCUGUCCCACCCUGCACAAAGGCAUGUGACUCAGUCUGUCCCAGCCUGGGAUUCCCCAGCUUCCUGGUUGGUGUUUAUUUGUGUAGCCUGAAAUGCCUUGUUUGUGAAUACAGUUCCAAGUGCUGGGGUGGUGGUGGUUGUUGUUGUUGUUAUGGUGUUGGGUUGAGAUGGAGACUGCACUAAGGUUACCCCCAACCCCAGAACUGACAAAUGCAGUCUUUAUCUACUUACUGUCCUUAUACCACUAUAGAAGUCACCCUGUUCAUCCCCUUAUAGACGCUAACCAGUCUCACAUCCCUCUGUCCUUGGUGGGAUUUCUGUCUAUAGGUCUGUGAUUUACAGAAUGAAAUAUAAAUAGAGCCAUGGGAAGUGCAGCCUUUUAUGUCUGGUUGUUUCACCUUAGCAAAGUUCAUUCAUAACUUAUCCAUUUUGUUGUGAGUCAGGAGCUUCUUUUUAACCAUUGAAUAAUAUUCCAUUGUGUGGAUACACCAAAAUCUGUCUCUCCAUCUGUAGAAAGUCCAUGCCUCCAUUUGAGAUAGUUACGAAUAGCUGUUUUAAGGUUUGUGUACAGGUCUUAGUAUGAAAUCUAUUUUUAGUUCACCUUGGUGAAGGCCUAUGAGUGGGGUUAGGGUGUUGUGUAUAAGGUUGUAUAAAUUCAUAAGACUCUGUGGGAGACUUUGCACAGUGGCUGUUUCUCUCUCCUAGUGUGAGAGUGAAUUGGUCCAGCAGCACUCAGUGCUGGCAACUUUCUGAUUCUAACAUUGCCAUGAACGUGUGGAGUGCUGUCCUCUCCUGUUCUCAUUUGUAGUCAUAAGGUCAGAAGAUGCUGAGCACCCGUGAGCUGUUGACCAUCCUCUUCAACAUCCUUCUCAGACUAUUGUUGAAGCUGGGAGCUUAUUGUUGAAACUUCAGAGCAGUUUAUAUAUGCCGGAUGACUGCAAGUUCUCUCUCUCUCUCUCUCUUUCACCCGUCCCCCCCCCCCCCCACACACACACACACACACUCUGUUUCUUUCUGAUUUUUUGAGACAUGAUUUCUCUGUGUAAUACCCAGACAGAGACUGUUGAUGCUGGCUUCUGAAAUGGGAUAUGGUCCCUUCAGUUCAGGAUGACAAAGCAGGCCCCCAUGUGGCUCUCUGCAGCUUGGGGACGAGGAGCCAGGAAGAUAGACACACUGUUGUUGUUCCUUUGGAAAGCAGUUCUGCGACCUAAGGAUUGAGUGGGAAGAGAUGGAAAUGUCUGCUCUUUGGGUUCAGCUCACUCUCCCUCAUAGCUUGAUAGCCUGGAGAAGAGCUUUGACAGAGCAUUCUGCAUCUGAAAGCUUUUACAGUGGCUAUUUCUCCCGUCGCAUAUAUCUCCAGUAGUAAUAGGGCGGAGCUCCUGAGAGAGCCUGUCUGUGAUGGCUGCAUAUUCCCCCCACAGAAAACAAGAGUGUUGAUUAUUGUCGUUUUAUAGGGGUUCAGAGAAACGGAAAAUUUCAAAUGUGUUUUGUAACCCUUAGUAAAAGGAGGGGAAACACUGUUAUGAAAUGUCUGGCGUGUGCUCCAUUUGACCUCUCUAAGCAAGUGUGCCAACAUGUGCAAACAACGUGUGCAAAUUAGUGCUACUUCCUUGUCAGGUUGGGGGGAUGGUUUGGGGGUGGGAGAUUUUGAGAAAGAGUGUGUGUGUGUGUGUGUGUGUGUGUGUGUGUGUUUGCUUGCAUGCUGGUAGGUAUGUACAUGGCUUUGUGUAUUGUUAUACUCUUUAUGACUGCCUGAACCAGUUCAGUUGAAAAUACAAGGGUUUCAGAAAGGACAGUCAGACACUGUAUCUACCCCAGAAUAUUCCAUGCUUCUUUGCUGUGCUUAUAGAGUCAUAUUCUUUGGUACUCCAUAGAGUAUGCAGUUUGCCUGCAUCCAAACAUGGCUUCAGGAGUUUAGCUGUGUUUAAACCUCCCUGUCUGUUGCUUGUGAAAACAUCAGACAGUUCCAUGUGCUCCCCCCACCCCCUCCCACACACACACCCUCAUCCUAACCUUCCUCCAGAUGAAUGAAGCAACUGUAGAUGCCACCGAUCAUGGAGCGCCACCCUGAACCAGAGCUUGCUGGAGAGGGACAGGGUUUGGGACAGGGUUCCAGCUCUGGGAGUUGUCCUGUCACCAAACCUCCCUUAUCACCAGCAGCAUGGGAUAGAUGUGGGAUAAAAUCCCUUGCAAAGCUACAGUGGAAAGGUCUUUGUAAUCCUGCAUGUAUAGAGUAUAGCACUUGCCUUGCUCUCUUUCCUGAGUGUCUCUUGGAUUAGCUCCUUGUAGCUCCCUUGGGGUCCUGCUCCAGGCCCGGUAGCAAAGGGCAUAGGAAAUAGGGUGGAGGCGGCAAGACAGGGUUCAAGGAGGAAGGAAGGGCCUGUGUAGAAGCAGUGGCCAGGGCUGGGUCUGGAAUUAGGACUGGCCUUGUCUCCUAAAUGGCUUCCUGAGCAGAAUUCCCAAACUUGUGAGCAGCUGCAGGCAGAACUGAAGGGACUAUACCUGUGGCUAUGGAAAUUUUGCAGGAAAGCCUGUUCUCAGACUAGACCUUUGAACACAAUGGUUUUCCCAGAAAAUGCUUGGUAUAAAUUGCCAGUAACUGGAGACAUCUGUUGGGUCAGUGGGCCUGUGAUCCUGUAAGAAAUUCUCUGGCUGGCCUUGAAGGUGUGAAGCAGGGAUCCCUACCGCUCUGCAGCUGUUCUAGAAAUGACACCCCCCCCCCUUUUCUUUCUUUAAAAUAAAAAGUCAGAUAAUCUGGCCCCAUGGUUUAAAAAAAAAAAAAAAAAAAAAGACAUUUCCAAUGUGUUUGCUUUAUGAAAUCAACUCUGGAUAAAUUGUUUCAUUAUAUCCUGCUGGCAAUUUCAUGGGACCUCCCUCUCCCCAGUUAAUUAGAACCCUCUGAGUCAGCUGGGUGGUGGUGGCACACGCCUUUAAGCCCAGCACUUGGGAGGCAGAGGCAGGCGGAUUUCUGAGUUUGAGGCCAGUCUGGUCUACAAAGUGAGUUCCAGGACAGCCAGGGCUAUACAGAGAAACCCUGUCUCGAAAAACCAAAAACCACCCCCCCCCAAAAAAAAACAAAAACACAAAACCCUCUGUAUCAGUUGGGGCAGGUCAGGUAAUCACUGUUCAAGACUUUGAGGUAGUCCCUUUCAGCCUCCCCCAGGUGCUAGGUGUUGUGUGAUGCAGCAAGAACAUUGGUGACUGGCACCUGGGAUUGUUCUGCAGGGGUGCUGCCUUUAGCUUGCAGGCUGACUUUGAAAUCAAGUAUUAGCCAACUGCUACAACCCAGUUCUGAAGUAGCUUCUCUUACAGAGCCUGAAGGGACAGGGCGCUGAGGGUUGGAUCUGCCUUGGCUCAGCCCCCAUCCGUGGGUCAGAUGGGGGCACUGGUUUCCUCUGGAUCUCUCUUUUCCCCUGUAACACCAGUGUGCAGGCAUCAAGCUCUAGCAGCAUCAUCGACAGCACGGCUGUGGCAAGGAAGGAUAUGAAAAUUCAUUCCUAGUCAAAAUCCCAGCUUUGAGGCCCAGCACUCUGAUGGGCCUUGACUCCCCAUCUGCGAUGGGCUCCCACACUUCAGGUCUCUGGGUUGGACAAGUCAGGCAAACUGGCAAAAUGUGAAGAUGAAGCUGCCCCUCUCUGGUGGGCUCCUGCCGCUAGCGUGGGAUAACCGAGAACGUAAGCA